AUUGAACGCUGGCGGCAUGCUUUACACAUGCAAGUCGAACGGCAGCAUGGGUGCUUGCACCUGAUGGCGAGUGGCGAACGGGUGAGUAAUAUAUCGGAACAUGUCCGGAGGUGGGGGAUAACGUAGCGAAAGUUACGCUAAUACCGCAUAUGCCCUGAGGGGGAAAGGAGGGGAUCGUAAGACCUUUCGCUUUCGGAGUGGCCGAUAUCAGAUUAGCUAGUUGGUGAGGUAAAGGGUCACCAAGGCAACGAUCUGUAGCGGGUCUGAGAGGAUGAUCCGCCACACUGGGACUGAGACACGGCCCAGACUCCGACGGGAGGCAGCAGUGGGGAAUUUUGGACAAUGGGCGCAAGCCUGAUCCAGCCAUGCCGCGUGAGUGAAGAAGGCCUUCGGGUUGUAAAGCUCUUUCAGCCGGAAAGAAAUCAUGCUUACUAAUACUAAGUGUGGAUGACGGUACCGGAAGAAGAAGCACCGGCUAACUACGUGCCAGCCGCCGCAGUAA
rnacentral:rRNA from 1 species